rnacentral:miRNA from 1 species
GUGGCUUGCAACUGAGUUCAGGGACAGCGUGUCUCAGUUUCUCUGAGCAUCUGCUGAUCCUGAGCUGUGUUUUUAGCUGC